UCAUUCAUUCAAUCCAUAGUGUGUUGGUCCUUCAUUCGUUCGCUGCCACUACUACGUCACACAUGUACGCAUAGGAACACACAAGAAAAAGAAGAAGUAGGGAGGCCAGCGUUCCACUUCUACAAGUGAGAAGGUGGGAAUCAUGGCUCUCCCCUAGCCCAUGGUUCGGCCACCACAGUACGAGCCAUGGAGAUUUCUUCUUCCUCCUCUCUCAAGACUCUAACCCUUGAUUCAGCCAUUGCUGUAUAAAUUAAGGUGCUGGUUUCAUCUCUUCAAAGUUUUUUUCUUGGUUCGGUCAUCACGGUACAAAUCAAGUUGCUUGUUUCAUCCCAAAUAUUCGUCCUUGAUUUGGCCGUCGCGGUACAAAUUGAUGAGCAUGUUAUAUUUACCUCAAAUCCAUGUCUUUGGUUCGGCCAUCACGGUACGAACCAAAGAGCAUGCAUGGUUUUACAUACUCUUCGUCUUAAUGAUCAUCAUCUUGGUUCGCCCAUCGCGGUACGAGCCAAGGAGCAUGCAUGGUCAUUUUACAUGCCGCAUACUCUUCGUCUUAAUGAUCCUCUUCUUGGUUCGGUCUCCUUAGCGGUACAAGCGAAGAUGAACGUAAAUCUUGUUCCUUCCGUAUACGUGGAUACAAAUCAAAGAAUAUCAUAAGGACAUGAACUUCAUGAAAAUUGCCAUAGUUUGGUCAUCAUAAAAAAUGUUAUGAUCAAGUUGGAAUGAAAUUAUGAAUAUGCAAAACUGAACACAUAAUAAGAUUCUUUCUCGGUUACGUUACGAACAUUACGUAUCAUGCUAGUUGUAAUAUGUGUAAGAAUAUACGAAAACAAACCUUCACUUGGUUACGCUGCGCAUGAGUAUUAUCCUAAUUCUACGCGGUGUUAGCAUUAAUACAAGCAAGGCAAUACCUAAUUAAAAUACGUGUUCAUGUUACAAGAUAUAUUAUAAAACAUGACACAUGUCAUAAAUCAAUCUUGCUUGGUUACGCUACACGCGAACACGGUAUGAGUGUUAUGCAAUGUUAGUAGUAAUACAAGUAAGAUAAAACUAGACAAAAAUCCGGGCUACACAUUUGCCCAAAUUCAUAUAAAAGAUGUGGUAAGAUGCUCCAAGGCCAUAAGAGCUAAACUAUUAGCACCACCAAAAUCGCAUGUCAUAAAACAAUCUUACUUUCUCACGCUACAUAGGGACACUAUAUGAGUGUUACGUCAUGUUAGUACUAGUACAAGUAAUAUAAAUCCAAAUAAAUGUUAAGCCACAAAUUUUGAUCAAUGUCAUAUAAAAUACAUUAAUAAAAUGGCCCAAUGUACAAGAGCCUAAAACUAUUAGCAUCACCAAAAUCGCAUGUCAUAAACCAAUCUUACUUGGUUACCCUACACAAAGACACAGUAUGAGUGUUAUGCCAUGUUAGUUGUAAUACAAGUGAGAUAAACCUAAAGAAAAUAUCAGGGCCACACAUUUUGUCCAAAGUCAUUUAUAUGCCAUAAAAAUACUCCACUUCUAUAAGAGCAUAAACUAUUAGCAUCAUCAAAUUGCACAUCAUAUAAAAUUGAUUUUACUUGGUUAUGCUACACACGGACAUGCUAUUAUUAUCAUGCGGUGUUAGUAGUAAUACAACUAAGGUAAAUACAACUAAAUGUCAAUCCCAUAAAUUCAGGACAAAGUCAUAUAAAAGAUAUUGAUAAAAUGCUCCAAUGUUAUACUAGCCUAAACUAUUAGCAUCAUCACAAACUCGCUUUACUUUGGUUAUACUACACACGGACCGCAAUCUAAUAACGUUACAUGGAGUUAGUCUUAAUACCAUGCAAGAUACAAAUAUAAAAAAAUGGUAAAUGUCAUAUGACUCAUGUAGUAUUAAAACUCCUCCAUACACCUUCAAUUGGUUACGCUACAUGCGGGCUUUGUCUUAGUGCUACGUGGUUUUGUAGUAAUACAAGUAAGGCGAAAUUCAAUAAAAAUGUGUUCAUAUCACAUACAUAUAGGUACACACAAUUUGUGCAAAGAUUAUGAUGAAGAAUAUUUCAUGUAGCCUAUGUAGUCUUUAAACAAACAAAAUAUAAUAAAUAGACUUCACUUCGGCCCACCUACAUAUAGAUGUCAUAUUACUGCACCGCGUAGUUAGUGUUGGUAGCGUGUGAAUUCAAAACCAACAAAAUAUGUCAUAUAUCAUAUGCACCAUAAAAAACAUCAAGAUUGUAUCAGAAAGCUAUAGUCUCUUACGCUACACGCGGGCACCACAUCAGUAUUACGCGAUGAUAGUAGUAAUGUGAUGAUAAAAAUUUAUCAAAGUUGGCAUGUAACAUACAUUCACGCUGUAAUAACCAAAUAUAUAACAUACGAUACAGACGGGAAAUUAUGUACACAUCCUAUGUGUCGAAUAUAGGAUAACAUCAUACCUAGCCAAAAUCAACUUCAUUCUGCAUAUAAAUGUGGUUGGACACAACUAAAUUUGUUGUAUGCUAGGAAGAUAUAUGACAAAACAUGAAACAUCAAAUCAUGAAGGAUUAUUCGCAUAAUAGCAAACAUCAAGUUCGCCAAGCAUGAGUUCAUCGACGAUCGCGGGGAUGAUUUUCUUGUAGCAUAUUUUAAUAGGAAUGUGUUGCAAUCUUAUGUAAUAUAUAUGUUGGAAUUCUUAAUCAGGGGAUUUCUCUCCGAAGAUGUAAUUAACAGAAUUUUAUAUAAAUAUAAGAGUUCUAGAAAUAAGUACCUACAAUAUUUGAUCUUCAUUUUAUUUUAUGCAUUGUACGCGCUAUAUUUAUUCACUCUUUAUCAAUGAUGUGGACGUGUGUUCUCCCGCCCGCCAUUUUCCCAUCAUCGCAUUCUGGCACGCCUAGUUUGACCUAUUUCGCCCCUCAUCUUUGAAUUCCUAGAUAGGAUUAUAACACAUGAAUUUCCAUAGUACAUAAGCAAAAAAUGGUAUGUAUGCAUAUACAAAAAAAAGGAUACAGGCGAAGAAAACUAAUAUAUGGUUCUCUUUAUUUUGAAGGUAUGGAGGGACAAGUCCAGGAGUUCGUCACUCUCCGCUUUGGUGACCUCUCACUCAACGUGUGAAUUUGUCCGCUGGUGGCCUUAGUUAGCAAGAGUUUGGAAAUGACAGCUGCAUCCCAGACUGGGCUAGAAGAAAGGGAAGUCUCCUCUGCAUUAAAGGAAGAAUUUAUUCAUGUUGUCACAAAGUCAGCAAAGAGAAGGAUGCGUGCAGCCACAAGAGCAUCUAAGGAUGACCAUGCAUUCAAAGUUGCUUCAUCUACUUCAGUUCCUCCUGCUUUCACAAAAAUGUCACCUACCAACACUAGUGCAGAAUCAGUUAAUAGUCCCGGUUCGUAAGGACCUUUGUGCCGGUUCUACAACCGGCACUAAAGGGUGGGGACUAAAGGCCCCCCUUUAGUGUCGGUUCGUCACGAACCGGGACCGAAUGCCCACCAUGUGGCACGAGCCCGCACCGGGGGGUUGUGGGCCUUUAGUCCCACUUGGUUACGCCAAUUGAUACUAAAAGGUUUAGGGGUUUGUGUUUCUGGUUUAUUUUUCCUUUUAAUUUUGGGCUUUCCAUUUAAUUCUUUUUCAUUUGAAACAUAUAUUAUGCUACUACAUAUUCUACAC
rnacentral:lncRNA from 1 species